CUCGUUAAUUAUUAAUUAACUAUUAAUCACAUUGCCAGUAAUCAAAUAUCAAACAAACAUAAAAGCUAAUUUUGUAUACUUUUAUUUUUUCUCUCAUAAAUGUAAUUAGUACGAUUGGUAUAACGAUUAUUAGCUCAAUAAUAUAGCGAAUCGUGACCGUUGUUUCACAGAUUCGCGCGCGGAAACUCGAAACUCGAUUUGUGAGCUGUUUAAUUUUCACUAGUUAUUCAUUAGCCAGUUACCAACUCGUUAUUACGGACCAGUGAAUUAUUGCACGCGUAUACUGGCUUGUGGCAUACGUGUUCGUCGUGAAACCACGAUUUCCGGCUCUCUUCACGCGCCACACCGCAAACGAGCAGAUUUUGGCGUACGCUCAACGCUAUUAAAUGUCCGAUGAAGACGUAACGAUUAUGGGAAAAAUCGACGAGUUUUUGAGGUUAGAUUAGCGAACAUCGGGAAAUCCUAUUAUGGUAACGAACCGUUGAAUCCAGUUACACGUUACGAUUAUGUGGAUUAAAAGGAGAAUAGUAUAAAUCUUAACAAAAGACAAAAUCUUUAAUUUGAGAAAACUGUGAAUGAAGUUUGAUCUUAAUAGUGUAUUAACAGGAUAAUAAAUGUUACAAAAUUUUAAUUAUAAUUUAUAAUAUAAUUAUAAUUUAUAAUAUAUUCUUAUUAUGUAUAACAUAUUUUUAUAUUAAUAAUAACGAAUCAAUUUAUGAUUUUUAAUUUUUAUAGCUGCAAUUUUAAGAGUGCUUCGUUAUUCAUUUUUUUUUCAAUUAUAUAGAUAUAUAGAAAUCAUAGUAAAUUAUUCGAUAAAGUUGAGAUCCAUUCCAAAAUUUAUAUUUUUGAAUCUAGAUCAAUUCUAAUAUAAACGGAAUUCGAUUAUUCAGAAAAGAUGAUGUUCUAAUUUCAAUAUUUACAAAGUGCUCAUUUGGAUUGUAUAAAUCGGUUUUGAACUUCAAAAUAUAUAUAGCUUCCAAAAGUCUACUUGUAAAUAUUUUGAUAUUUAGAAAAAUCGAAUGUAUAUCAUAAAAAUGAUACUUGAACUCUGUAUCUGUAAAGGAAAGAAAAAUGUGCAUGUAAAAAUAAAAUAAAGUAAUAUUAUCGCGUUUAUUUAAAUUAAAAUUAAAAAAUAAAUAUAGAGUCCAAUUUCAUCCAUAUAAAUUUACUUAAUAAAAUUUUACGCAACAAACACCGAUUCUACUCUCGUAUAUGACUAGUAUAAUUGAACUUAACGAGAGCUAUUAUAUUUCGAAAAACAUUGGAAAAAAUAUUACACUGUAAAUACUGAUUUUACAAGCUGUAUUGUACCGCUUAAAAAUUCUCUGAAAGUAAAGUUACAUUAAUAGAGUUAUAUUUUUUGAUGAAAUAAUUCUUGUUUAAAUAAUUUGUAUAAUUUUUUUUGUUUUAUACUAUUCUCAACAAACUAUAUAAUUAUUUACAUUGAAAAUAUAUUACAUAUAUUAAUUACAAAUAACGUAUCAAAUAUUACAACUAUUUCUAUAGAAAAAAUAAUAGAAAUAUAUACAAUACGUUUGUUAGAAAUAAAUUAAAUAUUACAUUCCUAUGAAUACUUAAAUUUAUGUAUAAAUAUCAUAAUUAUAAUAUUCAUAUAUUGAAUUUCUAUAUUAUCAAUCUAUUAUCUCAAAAAUUUAUUAUCUUGAUUAAUCAAAAAUACGAAAUAAAGUCAAAAAUAAAAUGAACAUUAAAUUAAUAAAAAAUUAAAAUACAUUUAUUUAAAUAAUUUAUAUUAAUAUUUUAUGGAUUUGCUCUUUGCAAAAAUAUUUCAGAUCGGAAUUAACACGUUAUAUUAAUUUGCAUCAUUAUUAUUCCACUUUGUCAAAUUUAAUAUAACUCCAUAAUUAUAUAAUCUUAACUAUAUAAAUGAAAUAAUGAUUAUCUCUUAAAUAUAAUAUUUCUUAAUUUAUAAAUUUAUAGAUCAAUUUCAAUCAAUAUAAACUAACACUAAUAUGGCAAAAAAAAUUUUAUUUAAAAAAUACCAGAGAUUACUAAUUUUCUUCGUUUCUUAAAUUAAGGUAUACGAAAAUUCCACGAAUACCUUUUCUCCUUAUUUCGAUAAUCUAAAAGGAAAAUUCGCAGAGGGUAUUGAGGAUGCGACGAAACGCGACCAAUGACGAUAAUUCUUAGAUCAUAAUUCCAUUCGAGCCGGGGAAAGAUCCGGAGCAAGGAACACCGCAAUUGCUGAAUUGCGGAAGUGGGGGACGAUGUUCAGGGAACGAAGAGGGAAUUUCCUGUUGUUCCUAUGUCACUCUUAGGAACGAAGGAAAUUUAAUUAGUUGAGAAGCUAAACCUACCAAUGCCAUGUGCAUUCGAACGUAUCGUUCGAAACGACGACACCGGAAGCGUGGAACGAAAGAGGAGAUGAAGAUGUAAUGAUAUUUUGUAGAAGAAAAACAGAGAGGAAAAAAAAAGAGAGAAAAAGUAAGAAGAAAUGAUAACACAAAAAAAAAUUGUAUAUUUACAAAGAAGAGAAAAAAUAUAAUCUUCCGAUUAUUUUAUGCAUAAUUUACAAAAAUAUUUAAAUCCAUUAAAAAUAGUUAAAUCGAUUUAUUUUAAUAGAAUUUUUUCGUUAUAUUUUUCAAUUAAAAAAUUAUCAAAGUGAAACAAUAGCGUAUCAAAGAUAAAGCAAAAAAUUGAAUUUUCAAUUGGCUCUAUAAUUUCUACGAACAAUUUCCAUUUAACCAAAGGUUUUUCUUUACAUUUCUGUCGUGAUUGUUUGAAUACAAUUGUCUUCGUUCCGUUUAUUCUGCUACGAAAAUAAUUGGAGCUCGUGUCUGUCGCAUAGUGAAGAGUUGUGUAAAUCACAUUAGACACCAUUUUAAGGGUAAUGAGUUGAGAAACGAAGCUGAAUAAAAAGGUGCAUCUCUUCUUUUUUACUUUAUUUUUUUUCUCUUUAUUUUUACUAGAUAUAAUUUUAAAUUUACGUAACUCGAAAUUUUCUCGAAAUUCUCAAAACUCUUAAAUUCUUUAUUUCUUUAUUUUUUCUUUUUUUUCUUUUCUAAUAAAUAUUUUAUCGAGGAAGUAAUCUUAAAAAACAAUCUUAUUUUUUCCCUAGAUAUCUCGAUCUAGAUCUUUCAUUUUCUUCUGCUUCUCCUAUUUUUCCUUCUUUUUCAUUUUUUUUUUUUUUUCAUUUGUAGGUAAAAAGACGAAUGUUUCUUUGAACGGAGGGCCAACAGGCAUUCUUCGAGAUACAAUAAUGCAUUCGCGGGUACACAGUGAGCACGAUGUGUAAUUAGUCACUCGUCAGAGACUGCUUGAACAAUGGAGUCAACGUAUCCUCGCCAUUUCCUUGCAUUAUCUCUGUUGUACAACGCUAUCUGAGCCAACUGCGCUUGAUUAGCACGGAUUACGACAAACGUAAUUGAUACACGCGCCGAUGCAGUGAUCAGAUUACGUUUCAAACGUAUCUUCUCUUCAAGUGUCUACGUUCUAGUUGAAGUAAACUGUUAGUAACAUCAUUACAAAGCAUAGAAACAAGAAUUGAAUUAAUAUAAUAUUCUAGAUUUUAAGAUAUUAAGAUGUAAUACACAUAAUACGCGAAAAAUUGUUUAUUAAAUAAAUUUUAAUCUUUUAACAUUUUUAUAAUGGGAAAAAAAUUCUUCAGAAUAAUUUAAAUCAGAAAAAGGAUACGGAAAAAGCGUACCAGUAUCUCUUAUCUUACUAUGGCAGAAGGUUGACAGAGCUAGAAAUAUAGGUCAGAAAGAUCUUUCUUGCUGAUGGCGUGUUUCUUCACUGAACGUAUUAUAUAUACAUAUAUAACAGUAGCAGUAGUGGUACAACCAUACGUAUGAGCUUCCACGUACCAGAGGUUUAUAAAAUAUAUUUCGUAAUAACGUAUAUAACUUAUGAUAAAAUGAUUUUGCAUGAAUAGAUAAAAUUUAUAAUUCACAUAUAUAAAUAAAACGAUAAAUAUAUUUAA